rnacentral:pre_miRNA from 1 species
UUUUUAAUAUAAAUAUGUACCAUCCAAUAUUUGGGGCAUACUUAUGUUAAAA